CCUACGGGAGGCUGCAGUGGGGAAUAUUGCACAAUGGGGGGAACCCUGAUCCAGCAACGCCGCGUGGGUGAAGAAGUACUCCGGUAUGUAAAGCCCUGUCAGCAGGGAAGAAAAUGACGGUACCUGACUAAGAAGCCCCGGCUAACUACGUGCCAGCAGCCGCGGUAAUACGUAGGGGGCAAGCGUUAUCCGGAUUUACUGGGUGUAAAGGGAGCGUAGACGGGAAGGCAAGUCUGGAGUGAAAGCUCGUGGCCCAACCACGGGACUGCUUUGGAAACUGUGUUGCUGGAGUGCAGGAGAGGUAAGCGGAAUUCCUAGUGUAGCGGUGAAAUGCGUAGAUAUUAGGAGGAACACCGGUGGCGAAGGCGGCUUACUGGACUGUAACUGACGUUGAGGCUCGAAGGCGUGGGGAGCAAACAGGAUUAGAUACCCUGGUAGUC
rnacentral:rRNA from 1 species